rnacentral:rRNA from 1 species
UACAGAGGGGGCAAGCGUUGUUCGGAAUUACUGGGCGUAAAGGGCGCGUAGGCGGCCUUCUAAGUCGAACGUGAAAUCCCCGGGCUCAACCCGGGAACUGCGUCCGAUACUGGAAGGCUUGAAUCCGGGAGAGGGAUGCGGAAUUCCAGGUGUAGCGGUGAAAUGCGUAGAUAUCAAGUGGAACACCAGUGGCGAAGGCGAGUCCCUGGACAAUUCCUGACACUGAGGCACGAAAGCUAGGGGAGCAAACAGG